rnacentral:lncRNA from 1 species
UUUGUUUUAGCUGAUUUAAUAACCCUACUACAAACCUGUAACUACUUUUAAAUAUUUAAUAAUUUGAUAUUGACCACUUAGAACAUCUGUCAGCCCAUUAGAAUGAAGCAAUCAUGAGUGCCUUUAUAAAUACAUGCAAUUCAUAAUUCUAAACUUGAGGUUAGGUUGGAGUCCAAGUAGUGCUGAAACCAUUUGCAUACUGCAGUAUGUCAUUAUGACCACUAGAUGACACUGUUAUACCUAAAGAUAGCUGGUGAAACCAUGAAGUCAAAUGCUGGUCACAGCCUCAAUCUUAAAUACAUCUGUGACGUAAAUACGGAAAUUCCCAGAGCUUAUUUCUGAAAAUCCUGGGCUAUUCCUCGACCAUGUGAGUUUUCGCAGGCACGUGUGAUUUCCCUUGUGCUCACGUCAUAUUCCAGCUGCUCUAGAUUCUUUCCAAUUGAAGUUUCUCACCAUCCCACUUUCACAUGGUAAAAAUUAUCUUUCAUGUCAAAAACAUCAGAAUGGAUUACAGACUUAUUGUAAACUAGGGUAAAGGCCUUUUAUACGUUUAAAGCCUCUGUAGCUACUUUUUGUGAAUCUUAUUUAGUUGUAUAUACUGUAUAUUUGUUAUAUAAUUAAAUGUACAAAGUGUAAAUGUUCAGUUAGUGUGGCCAUUAUGGAGGCUUUUAGAGAAACUGUCAUGGUGACAGGAGGUUUUGCUCAUCCAUGAUCUCCCUGUGGGGAGUUUGAUGAGGAGAUAUUGUCCAGUUGUUGUAUGUUAGGGUUGUAUUGGUUUGUGAGAGAUAUGAUGUAAUAAUAUUGUCUCAUUCUGUCUCUACAUUACUUUUUCCCUCUCUUUGUCAUGUAGAAGUCCUUUCUUGAAGAGACAGUUAGGCGUGAGUGUGAAGAGAGGGAAGAACUGAUUGCAGCACUGACCCUGACCAAAGAUCAACUACUGGAACUCAAACACUCCAAAACAAAACCAAAUGACACCCAGACACACACCCAGCUCUCCAGAGUCAGACCUACAGUGAAAAACCCGGAUCUCCCUUUCCCCAGACUCAAUCCCAGCCCUCCCAGCCAUCCUCAGACACGCAACCACAGCUCUUUGUCCACUCAGGGCACCAGGCAGCGUUUGUCUGAGUGGAAUUCUUGUAGUAUGAGUAGAAGUUCGACAUCCUGGCAUGGAUCAUCACUGCCAACACCCACCCUGCCCAAAAUCAGCAAAGAGAGAGUCACUUCAGUGAAUGACUUGUGCAAAAGCAUCACUAUGGUCAGAGGUUACCAUAUAGUUGAAAUGAUAGCAACACCAAGGGAAAGGUGGUAAGUAGCUAAUUACAAAUAUUUUUUGUUACAGUACAUAAGUACUUUUUUCUACUUUCUUAUAUAUAAUUAAAUUGUGGUACUUUUACUUGAGUUGAAUAAAAAUAGUAUUCAACUUUGCUACUUUUAUUUUUCACCAAAAGUACAAAAUACAAAAAAAAGGUGCCAGUGGAGAAACAGGUUGAGCUGGCAGUUACAUUUAUUUUUCACUUAACAUCCAAAAUACUAAAAAAUAAAAAAUAAAAAAAGGUGACGAAACAUGACAAGCUUGCAUUUGACAGGUACUUUUCAGACUACUGGGGUGGAGCCCUGUGCUUCAGGCAAUAACAGACAUUUCUGACUUAGGUGCAACACCAACAAAAAUCUUCAAGUUCAGCUGGGGGACGGGGUGUUCAAACUCCACUUUGCUGUGACAGUCAAUCUCUGGCGCUGGCGUUCCCCACUUUGCUGUGACAGUCAAUCUCUGGCGCUGGCGUUCCUUUGGCUUGAGGGCUCAGCCACUGUAAAGGCAGCACCAAGCUCCAUAUAACUUCAUAAUCUUUCUCCUUUAUGAAGCUAUGAAGCCUAC